AGGGACAUUCCAGCCUCCUGAGGGACAUUCCAGCGGAUAGGCGUGUUUGGGGGGUCGAGGUCUUCUCUGUGGAGAAGAGGGUUCUGUUUCAUCCUUUACCUUGUCUGACCCGCCCGAAGACUCGAGAGCUGUGAGGUGCCAGCACAGGCCUCAGCGGAGGCUCGUGUUUUAUCUUUUGUUGGAAAAAGUAAUUUAAAAUCUCCCUGUAUGUGUUGUUUCUGUGUUGCUUAGCAGUACAUAAAAGCUGAGCUGGUGAACUGCAAAAAUGACAGCCAGGAGUGAGAUGCAGUUGGAAAAGUUAAUUGAUGAAGCUACAAGAAAAAAAGAUUCCCAGUUACUGGAGAAAUUUCUGGCCACAGAAGACUCUGAAAAUGUCUCUUACAAAAGCAGCAAACAGUUUGUGAACAAAUUAGACAAGCUUCUGUGUUGGGAACUUGACAAACAAGAAGUGAAAAGCGUUUCUACUUUACUAAAUGUUAUCCAGAAAUGUGGGGAAAAAAUCAGCAUAGCAGGAGAGGAUGGGCUCCCAGCACUGAUGAAAUACGGGCUUGUUGGAAGGAUGGUCAAUUGGUUUGAAAAGUUAAAAGGAAUUUUGAUCCUCAGAGGAAGUGAAAGGAAUGAAAUGCUUACAAGUCUGGCUGAAGAUUUCUUCAAUGUGUUACUGGCUGUGUGUGAGAGCAGACCUGAAGGUAAAAUGCAAAUACUGGAAAACUUUGUUCUGAGAACAUGUUCCCUCAUCACUGAUGUAAGAAUUAGUAUUUAUGUUCAGCAGGAGGUAGUAAGAAAACUGAAUUUAAUGCUUGACAACAUACCCCGAGAGGCCAAGAAAAAGUUAUUUUCUACAAAGGAGAUGUUACUGGUCAUGAGCGAAAUGGGGAGGAGAAUUUUGGAUGCUGGAGACUAUGACAUGCAAGUGGCCAUCACAGAAGCUUUGUGCAGAAUGAUCUCAGAGAAGCAAAGAGCAGAACUGGCCUCCCAGUGGUUUCCCAUGGAGUUUGUGUCCAGUGCAUUUAAAGGAAUUAAAGAUUCUGAGUUUGAAACAGAUUGCAGGAAGUUUCUUAACCAGGUGAAUGGCAUGCUUGGAGACAAAAGAAGGGUUUUUACAUAUCCAUGUUUAGCAGCAGCUCUUGAUAAAUAUGAGCUCCAGUUCCCACUGGAUGAAAAUCUGGAGGAAUUCUGGAUUGAUUUCAAUGUUGGUAGCAAAAGUAUCUCUUUCUAUGUGGCAGCAGAUGAUGCAGGUCAGCAGUGGGAAACAGUGAUCAUACCAGAAGAAGAGGUGAACAUGUACAGCCUUGAAGAAAAAGACUCAAAGAAAUUAUUGACAAUAGAUCUCAAAAGCCCAAUGAAUGUGGGUAAUCUGGAAGGAGAGAAAUUUUCUUUGUAUUUUAAUUCCAUCUUGGAAAUCAAAGACGUAACCAGAAAGAUUUAUGGAUUUAGUAAAUGUAAGGAGGGGAGUAAGAAGCAAACUGCAUCAGUUGCCAAAACAGCUGUACAUGUCCUCUUUGAUGAAAGUGGAUCACAGGUUAUGGUACCAGAAAGCCAGUUGUCACCAGGUUUGAAAGAAAAAUCUGAACAGGAGGAGAAAGUCAGUAAGAAGAAAACUCAGCAACUUCCUGAAAGUUUGAGGACUCAGAAUAAAAAUAACAGUCAAGAAAAAUGCAGAGGGGAUUCCUCCAAGAUCACUCCCUCUCGGACAAGGAAAAUGUCUGAAGCCUCUGUGAUUGUUCCUGGAACUACAAGAACUUCCACAAGGAGUCCACUGACCUUUGUUAGCACAUCCACUCCUUUUAAAGGGAGAUAUAAAUUGCCUCUGGAAAUGACGAGCUCCACUAAGAGGUCUGACAGCAGUGCAACAAAUGAGACUAGAACAAAGAUUUCCUAUCAGGACUCUGCUGGAAGAUGGCAAAGAUUGACACUGGAUGAUGAAUUCUUUGAAACAGAACAGAUCAGGAGGUUAAACACCAGAAAUGAGGCAAAAGCACAUGAAAAGCAAAAAUGUGCUGAAGAAGUUUUAAAAUUUAUACAAGAGGCCACAGAAGAGCAAACUUUAGAGGAAGUGUUUGAUAUCGUUCCUGAUUCUCAGCCAGUUGGGAAAAGCAACAAACCUUUGCUACCUGGACUUAUGGAGAGUUCUUUGGAUAGAACUGAAACAUGGAAAAAAAGAACAUCCCUUCUUCCUGAGAAGAGUGGGACAACUGGGGACAAACAAAAGCCAAAUCCAUCAGUGGCACUUCCAUCCCAUCCAGCCAGAGUGGCCGACAUAUCUUUGCAUUCUGAGCUUGCAAAAGAGGAACCUGAAAUUCUCCUCAGAAAAGAGCCUGCAAAUUCAAAACCAUCAAAGCCUAAACUAAAGUCUAAAGAAAUCUCAGACGCAGCCAAAUCACUGAUCAGUAAAAUCAGUGACAGGUACAAAGACAAGAGUGAUGAGAAGAGCAAAGCAAGAGACUCCUUGGGUUUGAACAGGACAUAUUUAAAUAAAUCCUGGAACUCCAAGGAAGAAGUUCAGGACAGAAUCCUGACAACCACUUCUUUUCUUAAUAUAACUGCUGGUCAUAUCAUGGAUGAUGUCUACAACUUUAAACUCAGUGGGUUUGAUGAGCCUACAAUAAAGCUUGGAGUCCAAGAAUUGCAUGUUACUGAACUGAGUGUUCAUACAGAGACAACCAAAAAAGGGAAUGCAGUCGUCAGUAAAUCCAGCGCUGAAGUGAAAGGAACAAAAAAAGCUAGAAACAAUCAAGACAAGAAGCACCUCUUUAGUGACUCAGACACAGAGAACAGAGGGGAUGACAGCAAGACAGAGAUUAGUUGGCUACAGGAAUCCAAGAGGAAACCUAAACCCCAGAUAGUCAAUUACAGUAGAAAUAAAAAAUUAGGGAAACCAAUAAGCACAGACAAAAGCUAUGUUGUAACACCAGAUGAAUCCCCUGAACCUGCUUUCCACAUGGAAAAACCUAAAGGCAAAAAUGCAAAGAAGAAAAAGGUAGAUGUAAACAAAUGUAAAAAACAGAACUCAAGAACUGCUGAAAUGACAGAACAAACCUCCAGAAAGAAACUACCUCGAAGAGCAGCAGCAGCAAAAAAUUACAAAGAACCUUCCAGUUCUGAGUCAGAGUGUGAAGAGCAAAUUCCACCAUGCACCUCCAAGCAGGAGAAAUCAAAACUGCAGAAACCUAUGAAUGGGGCAAUCAAGGAUUAUAAGCAGCAAAAAGCACCCCAGGUUUUAUCUGUGGAGCCAAAGAGAGGAGAGAACUGUGUGCAGAAACCACCUGAGAAAUCCAAGAAUCCUGCAGAACAGAAGGAAAUGGAGGAGCCUUCAGCUGAGAGUCCUGCAUCUCUGGAGACAAUGAGAUGUGCUGAAGGACUCUCAGAAGGAAAUGUUACUCCAGAGCACACUUCCAGUGAAAGAUCUCUUGGUCUUCGGGAGUCAUCACCAGAAAACAGGGAGAUGUUAAAUUCUGAGAGAGGAAUCACUCCCAGUAAUUUCUGUCCCCAAAAUAAGAAUAUUCACAGUAUGUGUGUCAAUCAGUCCCCUGAGGCAACAGCUACAAAGUCAACAUUUGGAAAGAAAAGUUUCUCCCCAGUGUUGACAGAAGCAUCUUUGCUCAACCUAACAACAUAUAAAACUGUCAGUGGGAAAAGUUCCAAGGGAGCUGGAUUGGAAACCUGUAACAGUAACGAAGGGUCAAGUUUCCAGCGUUGCUUUUCGGACACAAUUCCUGUUAAAGGAAAACCAAAAGAUACCACUAAAGCUGUCACCAAAAGCAAAGAAGAGCUCAGCUUAACGACAUAUAAACCUGACAGUGGAAAACAUGCAAAGGGAGCUGUGUCAGAGGCAAGGAGUAAUAAUGAAGAUUCAAGUUUCCAAUUUUGCUUUUCAGACACACUUUCUGUUAAAGGAAAACUACAAGAUACCACUGAAGCUCUCACUAAAAGUAAAGAGGGUUGUGAACCACCAUCUCCACUGUCUGCUUCCAGUGGGAGUAAAGCACAGUCUUCAACUGAAGAACCUUACGACCCUGUAAAUGAGUCAGGGCCAACUGUGCAGACAUUCCUGAAACGAAGAUACCACAGUGACACAGAGAGCAGCUCUGAGGAGGCACGGGCCAGCAAAGAGGAGGAAAACACAGGAAGGAGAAGAAUCAGUUUAAAGCCCAAAAAGUUAUUUAAAACAAAUGAUGCUGCUACUUACAGAGUGUCUGAGAGCAUCUCCACUCGAUCCCUCAAUGAGCUCUCUGCUUUGGAUGGGCAAUUCUGGGAACCUGGUUGUUCAACUCUCAGCAUAUGUCAGAAGCUCCAGAAAGAAUUUACCAAGAAAAUUGAGAACCGCUCCCGGAAAAUGGAUCAUUUUAAUAAGCAAACAUUAAAAGCUGCCCAUCAGCAUUUGACAACAAUGAGUUACCAGCUCCACGAAUGCAGGAUCAGGCAGCUGGACAAAUUUCAUUUUACUCUCAUCGAGGAACUGGAGAAUUUUGAAAAGGAUUCCCAGUCCCUGAAAAACAUGGAAAAAGAAUUCACGACCUUUUGGAAAAAACAGACAAGUACUUUGAGUACUUACAUGAAAAAUGAGCAGCAGAGAAUUCAGGUUCUUAAAACUUCAUUUGAAAAGAAUAUCUACCAUUCUGUUGACUAUGAAGAACGUAUUUUUACUUCAGAGAUGCAUCUGAUGAAAGAGGACAUAAAAGGAAUCCAAGAGAAACUUCUAAAAGAAAUGAAGAGGAGCUGUGCAAUGUUCGCAGAGGAUUGCAGACCCUGUUUCAAUCAAAGACUGAAUUCUGAAGGGAGAUUUUUCAGAUUCCUUCCUGAACUUCAAGGAGCAGAGCAAAGGCUGGGCUGGUUGUGCUGGAAGGAUGUGCUGGAAGGACAGCAGAGAGCAGGGGAAGGAGCGAAGCUGUCCCUGCACAGCUCCAACGUGGUUGAGUUGCAUCAGUGACAAAGCUCACAGGCAAUGUUUGGCAUUUAAACAGCUGCUCUAAGUUACCCUUAUAAUAUUUUUAUCUUUAUUUUAUUUUCCAACAUCAUUUUAAUGUGUUUUAUACAGCAUUUAUUAGCAAUGGAAGUAUGGAUUGUUACUUUCAUGGACUAUAAGCCAAGUUUAGUUUGUAGUUAACAGUGGCUCAUCUGCUGUUCUCACACUAAAAAUGCCUCUGCUGAAGAAACUUUUCUCUCCUUUUGUUCAGCCUUUAUGUAUAUUGCAUCUGAACUCUCAUUAUAUUGUUCUUAAGAAUUAAUACUAUUGUAUUAAUAAUCAAAUUAAAAUGAUGGAUAAAUAUAGUAGUAAGUUAAAAAACUAGUUAUAAUGAUGCAUAUUUCUGUGAAAAUCCAGCAAGUUAAAAAAUUGCACUAAAGAGGAAAAAAUACAUCUUUGGAUCAAGUGUUGGGUCAUUCAGGUCUUCAAAUGACAGUCAAACAGGUCAAACAUGAAAAUGUUACACAAAGUGACAGCCAGCUCCAACAAAGCCAGCCAGUGUCACCCACCCUGGCCAGCACCUCUGCCAGGAGUCCUCAGUUCCCUCUCGUUGCCUUAGUGACACAGAGUGAAGUGUUGCUGUGUUCUGACCUGCCCUUCUCCAGGAGCAGCACUGUGUGAGUCCAUCCCCACCCUGAGCACAGCCCUGGCUCUGUGUGCUGACUGUUCCCCACCUGCAGCAACUCAGUCAUAGUCUGUGGCAUCCAUUUGAAACACUGGAUUUUAUUGUUGUCACACUCCAUGGAAUCAGCUCAGUGAAGCUGCGAGACCAAGAAUGCCUUUCUCAGGUUUUUAACACUGAAUGACUCCCUAAAGUUAUAGCACUGAAGAGUCUUGCAGAGAAAUGUUUGGGAGUGUAUUCAUUCACCAUUUUGUUCUUGUCUCAGGUGUGUUUUCCAGCUGUGUUUUAUUUUUUAGUAGUAAUUUGAGUAAAUUCUCAGCUGCUCCUCCAUGUCAGGCAUUAUUAGAAUGUCUGGCUUUACAUUUUUCUCAGCCAGUUCUAUCUGCUUUGUUAUUAGCACUUAGUAACUUUUUUCUUCUUACUGUCAAGAAAGCAUUAAAAUCAUUUGUUUGCCAAACAUCAAAGUACAUUGUUACAUUUCUACCUGUGCUUGUCCAAUUUAGUGAUUUUGAAUGAGAAUAACAGUGAACUUAAUUGUCAUUCUUUAGAGGGUCAGAGCCUCAGGUAGUGGAGGAUGACAAUCAGGUUCUGCUAUUCCAUGAGAUGGAAAAACCUUAGUUGGGAUCUUCUUUUUGCAGACUUCAUGUUGAUGAAGAAGUGCAAUGGUCUGGUGCAGAAUAAUUAUAAUCUCUUCCCUUCCCAACUGUCCCUGGGAAAAAAAGAGCUUUAGGAAACAUGUUCAUUUCCUGCAAUAAGUAGUCAUUUAAUUAAAGAACAAAAGUAACAGGAAUCAAAAAUGCUUGCAGCUGUGAUUCUGUUAGACAUUAUAUAAAAAAGAAUGAAAUUAUAAUACAUUAAAUUAGUUUUUAGAACAUGAACUGAAGUGUUUUACAAACUAAUUGUGGCAAGUUCAAAAUGUCUCGUCAACAUAAUACUGGAUGACAGUGUGUCAUGUCCAUUUAUGUCAGAGGCCUUGGAAUGGUAAAGCCUGUACAUGCACAACAUCUCCUCUUCCAAGACAGGCUGCAAAACAGUUCCAAACAAGUGUGAAAGGAGAGUAGGAGGCUCUUCCAAGUAGAUUUGCUUCAGUCUUUGUCAGCAGCUCAUCCCAAUCCCAGGCCGUGGCUCUCCUGCCUCCAGAGCGAGGGGCAGCCCUGGGCUCUCUGUCCAUAAGUGCUGCAGAGACCUCAGCUCAGAGUCCUUCCUUCACACAAACACCAAGGGAUCCUGCUCUGAACUUGAGGGAAAGACUCAGAUAUUCCCUGAUGCGUGUUCAGCAGCAAUAUCAAAAAGUAAAGACAGAUUCUUCUCAGAAGAAAAUUUCUAUGGCCUGUGAAAUCUGGGAGACAUGAGAGACAUUCAUCAAACAAAAGGUAGUUCAAUUCUCUGUUAGAUUAACAAAAUUUAAAAACCCCAUAAAACUAUUUGUUCUGUUUAAAGGUACAGUAACAGUGUUGAAGAAUAUCAGCCCCUCUAAGUCUUCAUUUUCACCAUGUGCCAGGACUGUAGUGCAGGGACAAUCCUCAGGGCCCAGUUUAACCAGUUACAGCAGUUUGGGAGUGCAAAUGCAAAUACAGGUGUGGGGUUGAUUUGAGGUUAGCAAAUGAAGCCACAGGUUGUCACUGGGGCCAGUAUUCUUUAUUGUGUGGUGAUUUUGUCCUUUUAUAAGAGCUAACAAUGUUGAUCUGAUGUUUCAUAAAGUCUGAGGAGCUACUGUUGGUGGAAUGUGUGAUUAUGAGUCUGGAAUAAAUAUUCUCUUGCUCUGUA